rnacentral:rRNA from 1 species
AAAUAUAUGUUAAGUGGAAAAGGAUGUGGGGUUGCUUAGACAACCAGGAUGUUGGCUUAGAAGCAGCCACCAUUGAAAGAGUGCGUAAUAGCUCACUGGUCGAGUGACCCCGCGCCGAAAAUGUACCGGGGCUAAACAUAUUACCGAAACUGUGGAUGAACCUCUUUAGAGGUUCGUGGUAGGAGAGCGUUCUAAGGGCGGUGAAGUCAGACCGGAAGGACUGGUGGAGCGCUUAGAAGUGAGAAUGCCGGUAUGAGUAGCGAAAGAAGGGUGAGAAUCCCUUCCACCGAAUAUCUAAGGUUUCCUGAGGAAGGCUCGUCCGCUCAGGGUUAGUCGGGACCUAAGCCGAGGCCGAUAGGCGUAGGCGAUGGACAACAGGUAGAGAUUCCUGUACCAGUGCUAAUUGUUUAACCAAUGGGGUGACACAGAAGGAUAGGGAAUCGCACGAAUGGAAAUGUGCGUCCAAGCAGUGAGUGUGAGAAGUAGGCAAAUCCGCUUCUCGCGAAGCAUGAGCUGUGAUGGGGAAGGAAAUUAAGUACGGAAGUUCCUGAUUUCACGCUGUCAAGAAAAGCCUCUAGGAAGAGUAGUACUGCCCGUACCGCAAACCGACACAGGUAGAUGAGGAGAGAAUCCUAAGGUGAGCGAGAGAACUCUCGUUAAGGAACUCGGCAAAAUGACCCCGUAACUUCGGGAGAAGGGGUGCUCUAUUAGGGUGCAAGCCCGAGAGAGCCGCAGUGAAUAGGCCCAGGCGACUGUUUAGCAAAAACACAGGUCUCUGCAAAACCGUAAGGUGACGUAUAGGGGCUGACGCCUGCCCGGUGCUGGAAGGUUAAGAGGAGUGCUUAGCUUCGGCGAAGGUACGAAUUGAAGCCCCAGUAAACGGCGGCCGUAACUAUAACGGUCCUAAGGUAGCGAAAUUCCUUGUCGGGUAAGUUCCGACCCGCACGAAAGGCGCAACGAUCUGGGCACUGUCUCAACGAGAGACUCGGUGAAAUUAUAGUACCUGUGAAGAUGCAGGUUACCCGCGACAGGACGGAAAGACCCCGUGGAGCUUUACUGCAACCUGAUAUGGAAUGUUUGUACCGCUUGUACAGGAUAGGUAGGAGCCGAAGAGACGUGUGCGCUAGCAUACGAGGAGGCAAUGGUGGGAUACUACCCUGGCUGUAUGACCAUUCUAACCCGCCACGCUUAGCGCGUGGGGAGACAGUGUCAGGUGGGCAGUUUGACUGGGGCGGUCGCCUCCUAAAGAGUAACGGAGGCGCCCAAAGGUUCCCUCAGAAUGGAUGGAAAUCAUUCGCAGAGUGUAAAGGCACAAGGGAGCUUGACUGCGAGACUGACAAGUCGAGCAGGGACGAAAGUCGGGCUUAGUGAUCCGGUGGUUCCGCAUGGAAGGGCCAUCGCUCAACGGAUAAAAGCUACCCCGGGGAUAACAGGCUUAUCUCCCCCAAGAGUCCACAUCGACGGGGAGGUUUGGCACCUCGAUGUCGGCUCGUCGCAUCCUGGGGCUGUAGUCGGUCCCAAGGGUUGGGCUGUUCGCCCAUUAAAGCGGCACGCGAGCUGGGUUCAGAACGUCGUGAGACAGUUCGGUCCCUAUCCGUCGCGGGCGCAGGAAAUUUGAGAGGAGCUGUCCUUAGUACGAGAGGACCGGGAUGGACACACCGCUGGUGUACCAGUUGUUCCGCCAGGAGCAUCGCUGGGUAGCUAUGUGUGGCAGGGAUAAACGCUGAAAGCAUCUAAGCGUGAAGCCCCCCUCAAGAUGAGAUUUCCCAUUUCUUCGGAAAGUAAGAUCCCUGAAAGAUGAUCAGGUAGAUAGGUUUGGAGUGGAAGUGUAGCGAUACAUGGAGCGGACAAAUACUAAUCGAUCGAGGACUUAACCAAAA